rnacentral:lncRNA from 1 species
AACCCUGUGGUUCUUCAGUGUGAGUUCUGGAAGCUGAAGGAUGUUUACCAAGCUGCUGGUGGGAUGUGCUCGGCCUCCCAGGCCUGCCAUCUGGUUGCCACGUGAUUACCAGGCCCCUGUGGGCCCUAAGAGCCGUGCUUUCUUUCCAGAACAGUCUCCUCACCUCAACUACUUAAUGUGAAAUCUUUAUAACGCUGUGACAGCACCGUGGUAUGAGUCAGCACCGUGCUGCUUACACUCCACUGAAUGAAGGGAGAUGGAGGCGUAAUUUCUUUAUCACUGAAACCUGCUUUUGACAAAAUCUUAGAGUUUGGCUCCUCCUCGUAGAUAUACACGUCUAAUUGGUUGAAAGCAAGCACCAAAGCUUCAUGUGAAGAUCGGAGGCACGCCACUAUGCUGAUAUGCCCAAGUGCAUGCACCAGGAGCAUAAGAGCAGCAGUGCUCUAGUUAAUUAUGGACAGCUCCUUUAAAAGUCUCUGAGAUGUGAGCAUUUUUUGGGGGGGAGGGAGGAAACGUUGUUGCACGCAGUAGGUUAUUUCCCAGGGAAAAAACAAAAAUAUUUUUCUUAUGAGUGUUGCUCUUUCUGCAGGAAUCUCUGCAUAGAAGAUGUCAAUAUGGUGGGCAGGCUGCAGAGAAACCCACAUUGGAACAGCAUCACUGCUGGGCAAGGAGAAAGGACAAGACGUUGAUAAAACAACACUCAGUUCAGUGGGAGCACGGCGCAGUGAAAGACUGGCAGGAAUAGACUCUGUAUCCAAGACCGCUUUAAAACGAGCAGCAGGUUCUUGGAUCUGGAAGUAGAAACCACGGAGGAGCCCACAAGGAACAAGCUGGAACUCCCAGCCCUUAAAGCAGUGUGAGGUUUGUUUCCAUGGCCUUGAUAUAUGUCUGUAUACUUUGUUUUUUAAAUUAUGGCUUGGAGGCGAGAGGGGAUAUUCUUACCCCUUGGAACGGUGCCUUGUGUGAUGCAGUGAGUCAAUGUUUGAAUUUCUCAUCCAUUUUCACAUCAUCUUCCUGAGAAGCAGGGCUCACUGUGGCCCUCUGCACAGACACAGGCUUGCUGCAUUGAUUGCUCUGUGGUAGCCAUGCUCUCAGAUGGGAACUUCCCAUUUUCUGGCAUUUAAAAUUCGAGUUUCCGUUCCGGCUGAUGAUAUCUAACACUGGAGCAGUUUAAUUUUUGAAGCGUGGUAGAUCCGUGCUGGCCAGGCAGGUGCUAGCAGAGCACUGGGGGAAGCAGGUGUCUGCUUUUGUGGCUGAACGCCUGGGGAGGAGAGCUGCGUUUCCAAUCGAGGGGAUAAAGCUUUUCCCCAGGGAAAGCCAAGGAGCAAAGUUGGGGAACGCAGCACGCACCAAACGGGAGGGCACGUGAAACCCCACAGCACCGAACGGCGAACGGGGAUGCUUCCCGACCCCCGCC